UACGGGGGGUGCAAGCGUUAAUCGGAAUCACUGGGCGUAAAGGGUGCGUAGGCGGUACGUUAGGUCUGCCGUGAAAUCCCCGGGCUCAACCUGGGAAUGGCGGUGGAAACCGGCGCACUAGAGUAUGGGAGAGGGUGAUGGAAUUCCAGGUGUAGCGGUGAAAUGCGUAGAGAUCUGGAGGAACAUCAGUGGCGAAGGCGGUCACCUGGCCCAAUACUGACGCUGAGGCGCGAAAGCGUGGGGAGCAAACAGG
rnacentral:rRNA from 1 species